GGCUCAGGAAGGCACUUUCAGCUUCGGGGUCCCCAGGAAGAACUGCAGGACACGGUCAGCCAGGAGCGCCAGGCAGAAGUCUAGGAGCAGCACCUGGGCGAUGACCAGCUUGAACUGCCAGGCAUGUGGGAGGCAGCCUCCUGAGUGAGCACGCAGAACCAAGUGGUGCAACAUUGAUCUCCCCGGCUGCCUGUGACUGCUUGGCAUUGUCCAUGGCACUGCAGGCCCUGAGCGAUCUUGGGGACUUGUUCCUUUCUGUCCCCUCCUUGCCUGGAGGGUUGUCAGGCCACCUCAAAAGUGUGCCAACCAAGGCUUGUGACCCCACAUCCGGGUUCUGCACCCCACCCGUCACUUGUGGGUGAUGAUUCCCACCCACAGAGGACAUGUGGCAGGCCCGAACUGCCCACCCUCCCGCCCUGCGGCCACCUUGGAGCGGGAGAUGAAGAGGAAGCAGCCGGCCAGCAGCAGCCCCUGCAGUGUGGCCUGGAAGUCGCUGAACUUGACCCCCUCCAGGUAGAGGACGCUCUGGCUGUAGGCCAGGAUGAGUGCGUUCAGUGCCAGGAUCUUGAACAUCUGCAGCGUGGUCACCAGUGUGCAGCGGCCCUGCUUGAUCACGUGGCAGACUGGGGCGACAGGUGGGGCAUGAGGGGGUGCUGCACAGUGCUAGGCUGGGUGAGGGGCAGGUUUGGGUGUGGGGACUCACUGCACUGGAUGGAGGAGAGCUUGGAGGUGAAGGGUGCGGCGAUGCUGGCGUCGCCCAGCUUCACGAUGGGCGCGCUCUCGUCCUCCAGGUCCCGCAGCACUUGGCUCAGGCGGUCCUGUGGGCAGAGGGUGGGAUCACUGGAUGCUACCACCUGGCACUGCUCACCACCCCGAGCCCGCCUGACUCACUCUCUGCGAGGCCGGCUGCUCCUCGGGGGGUGGGAGCCCCGACCGAUGCCUGGCGGCCCUGGAGGUGGUCCUGCCACUGCUGCUGCUCAAGACUGGGCUGUCCCGGGGCCUCCGCCGCCUUUCUACAACACGCUCGGGGGCGUUGGCUAGGAGUGCCACCCCUGCAGGGACGGGACGGGCAGGAUACGGGUUCACCCUGGGACCCUGAGCUCCAGACACCCCCAUGCACCAACUUCCCCAGGGAACCCUACUGUCUAUGAGCUAAGUAGGAAAACCAAGAAGCAACAAUCCUGCAAAACCAGUAAAUGCCGUGCUGCGGGAGGGUCCAGGCCCCCAGCCUUCAUGGCUGUCCCUGCACUGCCUGCACACAGCAUGGGAGCCCACGAAAAUCCUCAAGUGUUUCUCUUGGUGUGGGACCAGUGGGACCAACUUAGGGGUGCUCUAUCACAGAGCACAGCCCCAGGUCUUUUAAGUUUUGAUUAGACACUGUGCACCUUUUGCAUGGAAAAAACCAUGCUCUGGUGGGGCAGCAUCCCCAGAGCCACUCACCCACGUCCGCAUGCUUGAGCGCGCCCACGUCAUUGGUACCGUCCCCACACAUGAGCGUCACAUAGCCCAGCUCCUUGAGGCUGGUGACCACGAACUCCUGUGGGCAACAUGAGCUAAGCAGGGGUCCAGUGCGCCCCAGGCCCAGCCCUGCCCGGCCAUGCACGCACCUUUUGCUUGGGGGCCACACGGGCGAACACCUGUACGUGGGGGAUAAGGCGCAGCAGCUGCUGGGGGGCGGUGGCCUGCAGGUGGGCCAGGCCAUCGCCUGUGAGGCAUAGGGCGUACUCCUGUGCCAGUGGCUUGGGGGAACUGGGGGCCAGGGGGAGUCUGAUGCUACCGUCGAUGGAACGCCAUGUGCACUGGCCACCUGGGGAUAACAUGGGCAGUCACUGUCCUAUGUGACAUCUGCUCAGGGAUACCCUGCCCAUGUGGCCUGCACGCUCGUAAGCCCCUGCUUAGGACUCCUCUGCCACGUCCCAAGGGGAGCAGACCCCCGGCCACCGCAACAUCCAGUACCCCUGGCCACCUACAGAGCAGGCGCCUCACAGCUGACUAGGGGCUCCUGGCCCAGUGUAGGGAAACAGGCUGUCCAAGGCCUGCAGAGUGGGUACCAGGGUGCUGCCAUGGUACCACACAGCGUGCUGGGGGAGGGGACCGAUGGGCCUGUGACCUUGGCAUCCUCAUAGACAACCACCACAGGUCAGGACUCAGCAACCUGGUAACAACCGAGUCCCCAAUGAGGGGCCACAGGUUGUGAGGGUUGGACCCGGGGGUGGAAGGUAGGAGCUGUUUGUUGCCGGACCCGGCACUCUGGCCACCCAGGGCUCACCCUUUUCCGAGGGGGGCUGUAGGAUAAGUGUGUGGGCCUUCUCGAUGAAGCGCAGCUCCUGUGCCACGUGGCAGGCAGUGAGUGGGUUGUCUCCCGUGAUCAUGACCACCUGGGGACGGGGUGGGGCUCAGUGGGGAGACCACAUCCUCCUGUGGAGGGGGCCCCAAGCCCCCCCAGGGUGCUGGAUGGGAAUGAUGGGUGCCUUCCCUCGGCCUAGCCUUGCUUCCUUCUCUGGUAGUUGGGGUCCCCUGUAUGUGUGUGUACAGUAUAUGUCAGUGUGAGUGUGGUGUGUGCAUGUUGAUGCAUGCCUGAGGACCUGGGGUGAAGCCUGUGCCUCCCGGAUGUGGGGGUGGGGUGGGGGGAGGACUGUAGAGGUGAUAUGGGAGGAGCUGGCUCAGCCCCCAGCAUUUCCUGCUGGGGCAGCCAGCACUUCCGCUGCCACUGCACCCAGCUGUGACCUGCAGUUGAGACGUCAAGGCUGGUGCUGUCCCCUGGCGCCCUUCCCUCCCUGCCCCACUGCUUACCCGAUGGGAUGCGUUCUGAAUCUCUCGGAUCACGGCCUUGGAGUCGGCCUUGAGCGGGCAGGAGACCACGAUGAAGCCCACAAACUUGAGGCUGCACUCCAGGGCCUCCCGCUUGACCUCCCUGGCCUGUAGGCAGACACGGCGCCUUACCAUGCAUCCUUCUCCCCUGGGUGGGGAGAGGACCAGCACCUGGCACCCAGAGACUGGGGACGGUCCUUGGUGUGGCCAAUGGCCCUUUCUUAUCUCCCGCCACAUGGCAGCAGGAAUGAUGGGGCAAAACACUUGCCCCCAGGAGCUUGUGUGGUAGCAGUGGACAGACAGGACAGCAGUGGGGUCAGGGCCAGGACAUGUGGAGAGGAAGCCCUCGACAAGGCCCGAGGAGGGCAGGGCUGGCACCCUGGGAGCGGGGGCUCUGGGCGCAGGACUAGGCCAAGCUGAGGGUGGGGACUGAGGCUUGGGCUUGGACUCUGCACAGAGCUGUGACCUCCCUCGAGUUCUAGAAGAAUCUGUGGCCGUAGGGGGAAGAGACUGAAUGGGGGCCAAGGUGGAGGUGGGGGGAGGGGACCUGGGGACGAGAGGACACUGGGCGAGGGCUGAGAAUGCCACUGAGGUCUUUGCUGGUGACUGAAACAGGGCUGGGGCCUUACCUGCUGGUGGGUAAGGUGGCCUAGCUCCUUGUACCCCAGGGCCAGCACGCGGGCACCCUCCCGGGAGAUCUCAGUGUGGAUGUGGUGGUAGUCAGGCGGGCACUGCGCAAACUAUAGGGAAGGCAGGGAAGGUGGGAACAUCAGCGGGUGCCCUGUGCCCCACCCUGCCCCUGGGCUAGCCGGCUCACCAUGGAGUGGAGGGUUUCGGGGGCCCCCUUCACAGCUGCGAUGUAGCAGAGGUCGGUGGAGCCCAGCUUCUCGUAGGAGGCCAGCACGGACAUUCGCUUUAGGGCACUGGCAAAAUGAAAGCGCUGGUGAAUUUUCAGCCCCUGAGUUUUAAUACUUCGGGGGAAUACUUUCUCAUCUGGAAACAAAUAAGCAGGAGUCCUGAGCGCUUGGCUCCAGCAGCAGCCAGGCCCCCGCCUCGCUCUCCACCUGGGCCCCUGGCUCCUCCCACCUCCCUGGGGCCUGGAGGUGGUCCAGGGGGUCGGGGACCCUGGUACUGUGGCUUUGGCAGGGUGGGACACUGAGGACGAGGCUGGUUCUGGGUCCUCACUGUGAGACCCCUGCCAGGAGGAGCUGGCCCAGCCCCUCACCUUUGGUCAGUGUCCAGUCCACGGCUGUUAGCAUGGCCUUCUCCAGGGGGUCACCCACCAGGGUGCCAUCGUCCAGCUGCAUGAGGGAGUGGCAGGAGGCCAGAGCUCGGUGCGUUUCCACAGGGAUGCUGGACACUGGGGUCACCUCCUUUCCGUCCCUGCAAGGAUGCGGAGCAGCUGUGGGCACGAGUGUGGCAUGGUAGUUGGGUGGCAAUGCACCUCCCCCUGGGCAGCGCCGAGCACGGCUGGAGGGAAACUGGGGUCCCUGAGUCCCGCACUGGCUUCCCGGGGGACCCCAGAGGCUACACACAGUACGUGGGUCCAUAGCUGGUACGGAUUGGAGGUGAGGGCAGAAAUGAAGGAUGUCCCAGGGGGAGGGCCUCUGACCAGUCUUCACCUGCAGGCCCAGGCUGGGCUCGAUUCCCAGGAUCCCCUCUGCUGGGCACCUCCGAGGCCCAGGGUCCCUGCCGCUCACCUCAGCCCAGCCACGCCACGCACCACCAGGCUGUCGCUGGUCAAGGUCCCCGUCUUGUCGAAGCAGCACACCUCGACCUUGCCGGCGAAGGGGAUCCGGAAGGGCUCCGUGCAGUACAUAUCUGCGGGUGGGCACCGCAAUUAGGGGUCUGCUGGGAUCCUCGAACUGGGUACCCCUGCCCCACCGGUCCCACUCACAGAGCUUGGCCAAGGCGAUGAGAGAGGUGUUGACGGCCAGGGACAGCUCGAUGGGCAGCUCAGGAGGCACAACUGAGGUGAGGAUUAGAGUGCACUCCAGGAAGAGCUUGUAGCGGUUCCGGCUGGGGUCCUUGGUGCCUGCGGAGGCAGGGCCUGCCAGGCACAGGGCUGAGGGGCUGAGGCAGGGGUGUGGGGUGCAGGCCACAGUGCUUACCCUCGAUCCACACGUAGGCCGCAGCUGCGAUGGCGAAAACCAGGAGGAAGAGGAUGAAGAUGAAGGUUUCCAGGUUGUUGGCUGUCACCCGCUUGACCCCAAAGAGGAUAGUGCGCAGCAGCCUGCCCUAGAGGGAAGAGACGGAGGCCUUUCCUGGGCACAGGCCUGGGCGAGGAGCCUCUCUUCUCAGAUCACCAAUGCAGGACAUGAAGUCCUUUCAUGGACUGCAUGAAACAUGGAAACAAGCAGUGCCUGCCUCGUCUGGUUAAGGAGCCACUCGGACACUGCAAAGGCAGGCAACAGCCCUAGGAGGCCUGGCAUUGCCCUGCUGGGCAAAGCCCACACUUUGCCAAAACAUCACUUACUGGGGUUCACUCCACACAUGUGGGUGAACAGUGAGCUUGCCAGCCAAGCGCUCCCCAAACCUCAGGUCAGAGGGACCUGGACCCUGGGCUCCCUGCUUUACCCUGGCCAUGGCAGAGUCCAGGGCCGAAUGCUUGGGAAACUGAGACACCUACCACUCAGGUGCCUACCAGCCAGCCCACCCACCCACCCACUGGAAGGUGCACCUGGGAGGUGUUGAAUCCAGUCCGCAGGACGUAGGCCACGCAUCCAUUGUCGACCGCUGGGGAAAGAAAGGGCCUGGUCACCCAAGUGCCCUCCUUCUAGUGCACUGGGUAAAGAGGGCGAGAAGGCGGGGUGGGGAGGCAGGGCAUCCCCAGGCGGCCCUGAGGCACCUACGCUUCAGGCCUGUGGUGGCCUUCUGUGGGGGGAUGUGCUGCACCACCUUGGUGCCCCCAAAGACCACGUGCAACCGGGAAUCAGCCUGCAGGUCCAGCAUGCGGUCAGGGCUGAGGUCCUCAAUGGGCUCCUGUGGGGGAGGGGACUGGAUUGGGAUGGUGGCUUCCAGGUGGGACCUGGGGCUCUGUCCCUUUCUCCUCAGUCUCCAGGCAUCCCAGGAUGCUGGAUGCAGCUGAGGUGUACCCCGAUCACACACCUUCAUCUGUGGCACUGACUCCCCGGUGAGCAUGGCCUCAUCCACGAUGCAGCGGCCACGCAGCAGCAGCACGUCACAUGGUACCAGGUUCUCCUGUGGGGAGCGGCCUGCAGGCAUGGCAGCAGGAUUGGCCAGGGGCCCUGGGGCUGGGAAGGCUCCCACCACCCGAGCAGAGCUGGCCUCACCGAUGGACACGAUGUCCCCGGGCACCACUUCAUCGCUGGCAAGGGGCCUCCACUUGCGGCUCCGGUAGACCUGGGGGCAAGGCAGCAUCAGCGUAGCUGCCCUGGCCGUGCCUGCCCUGAGUCCACACUUAUACCACGCCUGCCUCUUGCCCACCCUGGAGCCGGCAGUGCCCAGCCGCACCUGGAUGAGGUGGGGCUUGUUGCCCAUCUUUCGGAUCUCAGACAUGUUCCGCAUCUGCUGCUGCACCAGGGAUGCCUCAAAGGCCACUAGCAUGGACAGCGUGAAGACACUGUAGUACCAGUACUCAUCCAGGCACCAGAGCCCCACACAGAACACCUGUGGGGCAGGGAGGCAACGGGACAGGCAGCUCUGUGCUUGCUCCUCGUCGGCUCCAGAGCCCUGUGCAUGAAGCCCAGGGACCUGAGUGGCAUGGCUGUCUUGCCCAGGGGCUCUGGCUUCUCAGGUGACAGACAGGCUUUCUAGGCUGUGACAGAGGCAGGGGAUGAGGGACCCGGCCGCUGCUGUACCUGAAACACGAAGAAGGGAGCCGUGGCCCUCUCCUUGAAAAGCUCGGAGAAGUCGGGCACCACCAUCUCGGCCCUGCAAGAGAGCACGGCACACCUGUCCCCAGAGCUGGGGGCCAUCCACCCAGGGAAACCACACGGGGGUCGAAAGCUUGGAGAGCUUCCCCACCAAGGCUCCAUGCAACCACGGCUGCACUGGCCUCCUUCUGAGGCCUUCGGAGCUGCAAUGCAAGCAAACGGAGUGGGCAGGUACAGAGCUGAGCUCCACUGGGAACAGUGUCCUGGUGAAAAGCCCCAGAGCUGGGCCCAGGGCACCUCCAGGGCCUGAGCUUGUGUGUGGUGGCCCAGUCCAAGAGGUUAGCCAACGAGGGCUGUGCUUGCAGUGCCCUUUGACUGGUAGACACCUUGGGCUGGGACAGAAGGGCACAGUGAUGCCACGCCAUGGGAGCCAUGGACCACACAGCCCCCACCCCUGCCAUGGGCUUGGCCAUGAGUGAGGGAGGCAGUGAAGAGAUGGCCAUCCAUGAGGCUGACCUUGGGGUGGGGGAGCCUCCCUUGCGGCCCUGUGUUUCAGCAACAGAGUCAGGACGGUCUCUUGGGAGCUCUAUGGGUUUCCAGGUCGAGAGCCACAGCCUCAGGGGCUACCACAGGGUUGAGGCUGGACGUUCUGCUGCCCCCUCAGCCUCCCGAUAAGUUUCCCAGACUGGUUUUUGGCUUCAGAUCAUCCUGCCUGUGUCUCUGUGUGGCUAGGAUUGCACACAGUUAAUAUCUUCCUAUCACUUACUUAAGUUACUUACUUUCUUUUUUUUUUGAGGCAGUGUCUCGCUAUGCAGUCCAGGCUGGCCUGGAACUCAGUAAUACUACUGCCUCAGCCUCCUGAGUGUUGGGAUGAUGGGCAUGUGCCACUACACCUGGCCUCCACUGCUAUUUCUAAAGGACUGAGAUAGACGUUUGAAAGUAACAGAGGGUGGAAUUUUAAACACAGAAUUUAAAAUGAAGCAGGGAACUGGAAGAGACGAGGAGGAAGAGCUGACUGUUGUGAGCAGGGUUGGGGUUCAUCUCUGGGCCGGCAGGUGUGGGGACAGCAGCACAGGCUCCUCCACUGGGACCCUGAUGGAGGAGUACCCCAGGAUGAAGGAAGGCUCCGCCCGCUCCCUAGAUACUCUGGAGCAGGAGCAGAGCAAGAACGGGACACAGGUUGCCGGCCAUGAAGGACUCACUUGUUGCUCCCGAAUUUCUUCUCGGCGGCCCGGAUCUCUGAGUCUUCCUGGAACCCCCUGUGGCUCUGGUAGAAGGAGAACAUGUUCGCCACGGGGAAGGCUACUGGGAGGAACUGCUUCUUUUCCAGGGCGUCGUAGGAGUACUUGAUCUUCUGGAACUCGAAGGACAGCACCUCGAGCCCGUCUUCACCCUGUGGGGGUGAGGUACGCCAUAGCAGUGCCUGGGAGUCUCUCCUAAGUCCCUGCCCCUGGGUCCCCCGGCAGGCAAUCCCUACCUUGUCACGAUGCAGAGCCACGAGCUCGGUGGAGCCAUUGUUGGGGGUUGGCACCACCUUCACAAAGGUUGCCUUGCUGGGGUCGUACUCCUGCCAGACAAGCAGAGCACUGUCACUGAGCCAGCGCAGCUCACAGGCCCAUGAGCCCAUAGCCCCACGGGGAAGGAGGGAACAGUGGUCCCAUGGGCAAGUUUUGAACAUGCCACUGGGCUCCAGUGCUGGCUUGCCCACGCCCCAGACUGUUGCUGGGACAAGAUACCACCUCUGGUCUGUAUUAUAAAGCUGGGGUUUCGGAGAGCACCUGACACCCAGGGAUCUGGUAAUGCCAACUCUCAAACGAGAAGUGUGACACCAGGCAUCUAGCGUGUGCUGGCUACGAGGUCACGGCCCACCUGCACUCACAGUGCCUGCCUCUCCCCUUUCUGGUGGUCUGCCCGGAAUAUGCUUUCAUAGAGCAGGGUCCCCUGAUACUGCUGGCCUCUGCUUAAAUGUCACCUUCUCAUGAACCCUUCUGCAGUUAUCCCAUCUAAAGGUCCCUGGGCUCUCUGUUACUGCUCUUUAGCAACAAUUGCUGAGUGGCAAUUUUCUCUCCUGCUAACGUCAUAAAGGCGGCAGACUUUGUCCACUGUCCACUGCUGUUACCUAAGACACAGGAAGUGUUCUCUUUCUGUGAACUGUAUCCAUCCCUGGCUGCUCUGUUAGAUCCUGGGAUGAGUGGAGGGAAAGAGGGGGGCCUGGGAGCAGCAGGGGGAUGACCCUAACCAUGUGCCAUGCCUGAGGAAAUGCGUGGGCCAGUGAGGUAGGCAGAAAAUAGCAAUAAACACUGAACUACGGACUGCAGGGAAGGCAUGGUUUAGCUCAGGACCUACAGCAAGUGCUUGUUGGAUGCCACCUCAGCUUCUCUCGGCAACACCAGGAGGCCAGGUGUUAGGGCUCUCACUUUUUUUUUUUUUUUUUUUUUUGUCUUUUUCGUUUUUAUCGGUACCGGGGAUCGAACUCAUGACUGCCUGCUUGCAAGGCAGGCGCUUAUGCCGCUGAGCUAAAUCCCCAGCCCCAUAGGGCUCUCACUUUACAGGGGUCAGAAACUGAAACCAACCAGUAGGAGCAGUGGCCUGAGAUGAGGUGCAGGCCCAGAUCUGCCUCUAACUUGGCUUAGUUCCCCGCACUCCUCCAUCCCUGGAGAGGAAGUCUAGCAUUACAUUAUUUCGCUGCAGACCAGCAGGCAGCUGGAGUCUUGGGGGACCACCUGCAAGACUCUCCAACUUCCUUUUUUUCACUUGUCCCUUGCUAAGUCUUUCACUGUACCAGUCAGAGCCACCAAGCCUGGAAGCACCAGUCCUUCCAAGGGACAAAUCUAACUGGGGAAGGAAUGAAGACUCAAUGCACACUGACAGUGGGGAAAGGGGACAGUCUCUCUGUCCUUCCUGUAGCCCUAAUGCGGUCCCGUCCCUCUUGAGGCCAGUCCAUGCCUGGGAUUAGGCCAGAGGGUCGCUGGAGAUAUACCUCAAUGCCUUGGGUUCCAAACCUGAAGUCAUCUGAGUCAAAUGGCACAGCUACUACUUGUCAACUGGAGGCUCACUUCCGCUCUGUAUCACAGCUACCGCGUUUUGGGGUAGCACUCAUUCACUGAGAACCUCAACUGUGGCUCUCACAGGCGCUGUCUGGUGUUGCACCCCAGUCUCCCCAUCGCCGCGCUUAUCUCACAGAAGGGUGGCAGGAGACGCCAAGUCACUUACUCCACAAACAGCGCAUUUUAAACAGUGUCACCUGCAUCGCAUGCCCCUUUUGGUCUAGCACGGAAAGGAGCUGUGCCCUGGACAGCAGGACUUGUUUCGAGGUGGGGGAUCCCAUCCCACAGGGCUGCGGUCACUUUGCAAACCAAGGUGGGAGACACUGGGGCGGAGGAUAGGACCAGGAAACGGCAGAAUACCCGUCGGAAAGGAGUUAGAAUAACCGCGUCCUAUCAGACAGCAACCCAUGCUGGGCUCCGCGCUCAGUCUUUGCAGACAUCAGCUUAGUGAUCCUGAAUGACUACACCAGUAGGGAUUCCAGAGAUAGGAAGCGCAGUAACCCAUAUCACGUCAGGACUGAACCUCGGCCCGAUGACACAGGGGACCGCUGAGGGCCCGGGCCUAGCGGAGAGGAGGAUCCGGACGGUGCCAGGGGUCGGGCUCGAGCGCGCGCUUACCGGAGUGCAGGUGAGCGCGCAGUGCGCGUGCACGGACCAGUGCCCCGAGAGAACGGUGAGUGCAUGAGCCAGGCAGAUGGUGGCGAGUAUCAGUAGCGCGGCCUCCGGGAUCUGAACCCAGCUGCUGCCCCAGCCCCAGCAGCCGGCGGCCGCAGCGCCCAGCCAGGCUGGGUAGAGGAGCCCCGCGAACGGUAACACAGUGAGGCGCCGCAGAAGCGCGAGCCGCCGGUAUGGCCACACGGCCGCCACCAGCUCGUCACCGCUCGCUAUGAGGGCCGGCCCGGCGGCAAAGAGCGCACGCGGCUGCGGCCCGGACUUGGGCUGCCCACGGAGCCAGGACCCGUAAGACCGGGCCCCACAGGGCACCGCGUUGCCCACCGCCGCCAUCUUUCCCCAAGACCGGUGCUCGCUUCCGGGCGGAGGCCCCGCCCCAUUUCCGCCAGGCUACUUCCGGAGAGUGCUGGGCGCCGCCAUGAUAGCCUCAGUGUUGGAAAGCCCCCAAGGCAACAGAGGCGGAGUGGUUAGUUUGGGCGUUGCCAUGACAGUCUGAGGCCGGAAAGAGCGAUAGGAUGCCGCCAUGACGGAGAGGGCUUUAGAGCAGCUUGCCCGUGCUGCCACGCCGGAUUAUGGCCGGAAAAGACGAGCACCGCCAUGACAACCUGGGCCGGAAGAGGCGAACCCUUCUAGGGAAAAAAGAGCCAAUCAGGGAAAGGUUUUCUAGGAUGGGUCUUAGCAUGGAGGCGGGGCUCGUGGGAGUAGGUCUUUGUGGGGCGUGGUUUUCGGGGUGGGAGCUGUCGUUGGGCGGGGCUUGUGUGGACGGACACUUAUUGUAGGGACGGAAUUUGUGAGGACUGCCUGGUACCUGGUAUAGUCUCGGGUGAGGUCUCCUGGGCAGCCACGCCAAAGCUCCCAAAGAUGAUGGCUGCAGGGACCCAAACAUACGCGGCUCCACUUCUGGAAGCUAAGAGAAUAUGGGGUGCUGAAGGUGACUCCCCUCCAUUCCACCAAGCCACCAGCUGUCCUCUGCCCAGCCCAGCCCAGCCCAGCCCCUGUCAGUGUUCUGCAGCUAUGCUCUCAUGGGGCAGCUGGCGGCGUCCCACUCCUGUUGACCCACCCUGCUUGUGUUGGGGUAGGUAUGGGGAGUGGCCAAGGCUGGAGAUUGACCACACUUGCGGGACUAAAAGCAGUGUCAGCCCUGAGAACAGACACACCCCAGGUGAGACAGAUGAACCAACUGGUGGGCAGAGGGCUGUCACAAGACAUUGACCUGCCUGCUGUAUAAUACAUAGGCUGCAGUCACUGAGCAGUUCUUUUCUCCCAUCUGCAGAGAGAGCUCCACCUGGUCGUAGCUUUCUGCAUUCUGACCCUGGUCUUCCUUUCUUGCCCCCUGGGAAGUUUGAGCUGCUCUAUAGACGCAGAAGUAGGGGUGAGGGUGGGUACUUGGUGUGAGGGGUGGAGGUUGGAGGGCUUUGGGGCUGGGGGAUUGGGCCCGGACCCCUCCUGCUGUUGCCCAACGUAUGGGCUUCCUCCCAUGCCUUCCUACACUUAAGAGGGGACCCUGAGAGUCGGCGCAUGCGCUCCCACUGGUCCAUACCAGGGACUGCCAGCCCCAGCGUAAGCCAGCUUCUCUCUCUCUUUUUUUUAAUUUUAAUUUUUUUUGUAGUAAGAAUCGAACUCAGGUCCUCAUGUUUGCCAAGCAGGCACAGUACAGCUGAGCUAUAUGCCCAGCCUUAAUUUAAUGUUUAUCAGUACAUGUUUGGAGUGCAUCUGAUUACACACAUCAGGAGAAGCUGGUACUGGGACAUAAUGCAUCUUCAUUCUUUUUACACCCUUCUCAUCCCCUCCCUUUAUCUUCUCUCCAUCCCUUGAUCCCCUUCCCAUUUGCAAAAGAUCUUAUCUAUUUCCUGUUAGUUUUUAUUUUCCUUGUGUGUAGAGAAACCAUGCAGUAUUAAAGCUUGUGUGUCUGUUUUAGUUUAUGGUC